rnacentral:rRNA from 1 species
CCUACGGGUGGCAGCAGUGAGGAAUAUUGGUCAAUGGGCGAGAGCCUGAACCAGCCAAGUCGCGUGAGGAUGACGGCCCUACGGGUUGUAAACUUCUUUUGUCAGGGAGGAAUUGAGUCCAAGUGUGGUCUUAGCGAGAGUACCUGAAGAAAAAGCAUAGGCUAACUCCGGGGCCGCAGACGCGGUAAUACGGAGGAGUCGAGGGGUAUCCGGAUUUAAUGGGGUUAAAGGGUGCGUAGGCGGAAUAUCAAGUCACCGGUAAAAAUUCGGGGCUCAACCCCGUCGUGCCGUUGAAACUGAUGUUCUUGAGUGGGCGAGAAGUAUGCGGAAUGCGUGGUGUAGCGGUGAAAUGCAUAGAUAUCACGCAGAACUCCGAUUGCGAAGGCAGCAUACCGGCGCCCAACUGACGCUGAAGCACGAAAGCGUGGGUAUCGAACAGGAUUAGAUACCCCAGUAGUC